AUGUUUUGGAAAGUACUCUUACUAAUAGGUAUGAACACGCUUUCCAAACUCAAUCAGUUUUACAGCCAAAGAAGUAAAAAGUCUUGGGCUGUAAAAGGUGAUCGCAACACAAAAUUCUUCCAUCAGGCUGUGCUCAAACGUAGAAAAAGAAAUACUAUUUGUUCUAUCAAAGAUGAGCAUGACAAUAUUCAUUUCAAACCGGAGGCCAUGAUGCAAACGUUUGUUAAUUAUUUCACUUAUGCUGGCAGGCCUUUUUCUUCCCCUAUUUGGACUAAUGACAACAAUGAUCCUACUUAUUCUAUUCCGGACAAGACUGAACUUUUGCGGAUUCUUAAAUACAUGAAGCUUAAUGCUUCUCCUGGUCCUGAUGGGUUCAAUGUAGAAUUUUAUUUAGCUACUUGGGAUUGGAUUGGGGAUGAGGUAACUCAUCUUGUCACUCACUUCUAUAAUACUGCUACACUUCCCCCUCACAUCAAUGAUACCAAUAUUGCUCUUAUCCCUAAGAAGUUGGUUCCUCUUGUGCCCAUGGACUACCGUCCUAUUAGUCUUUGUAAUGUGCUUUAUAAAAUCAUUGCUAAGUCUCUUGCGAAUAGACUUAAGCAUCAUCUUCCUGAUUAUAUUGACCAAGCUCAACAAGCAUUUAUUGAGGGUAGACGUAUUAGUGACAACAUUAUCAUUGCUCAGGAAAUUGCUCACUCGUUUUCUCUUAAAUCCUAG
rnacentral:rRNA from 1 species